rnacentral:rRNA from 1 species
UACUGGCGUUUGCGCGGUACCCAACGGUGGGUACUUAAGGGUGAUGCCAACACCGCUUAUUUUCAGGUGGUGGCUAACGGCCGGCGACGUCGAAACUCCAUUCACUGCCUUUGGGAUGGAGACACGCCUCUCGUUCGCAACUCGGCCAUCCGUGCCCAUGUAGACGGCUUCUAUAAAGCCCUAUUUACCCACACCCCUCGGGGUGGGGUUAGUCUCGCCUCCGACAUUUGGUCGGGUGCUCAAUUGGUCUCUGUUGAGGCCAAUGCCGCUUUACUGGCCCCCUUCGCCGAGGACGAGGUUCUCGCGGCUAUUAAAGGGAUGAACCCCUCCUCGGCCCCGGGCCCGGAUGGUCUGCCCGUAACGUUCUUCAAAACGUUCUGGCCGACCAUCAAGCCGGAGGUCAUGGCCUUGUUUGAGGAAUUCUAUUCGGGGGCCAUGGACCUUGGGCGUCUCAACUAUGGUAUCGUGGCCCUCAUACCCAAGGUCCCGGGUGCCUCCGACAUCCGCCAGUUCCGUCCAAUCACAGUG